UACAGAGGUCCCAAGCGUUAUUCGGAUUCACUGGGCGUAAAGGGUGCGUAGGCGGUCGGGUAAGUCUGACGUGAAAUCUUCAAGCUCAACUUGGAAACUGCGUCCGAUACUAUUCGGCUAGAGGAAUGGAGGGGAGACUGGAAUACUUGGUGUAGCAGUGAAAUGCGUAGAUAUCAAGUGGAACACCAGUGGCGAAGGCGAGUCUCUGGACAUUUCCUGACGCUGAGGCACGAAAGCCAGGGGAGCAAACAGG
rnacentral:rRNA from 1 species